CCUAGAGGGCACGUAACAGUCGAGCGGAUGACGGGAGCUUGCUCCUUGAUUAGCGGCGGACGGGUGAGUAAUGCCUAGGAAUCUGCCUGGUAGUGGGGGACAACGUUUCGAAAGGAACGCUAAUACCGCAUACGUCCUACGGGAGAAAGCAGGGGACCUUCGGGCCUUGCGCUAUCAGAUGAGCCUAGGUCGGAUUAGCUAGUUGGUGGGGUAAUGGCUCACCAAGGCGACGAUCCGUAACUGGUCUGAGAGGAUGAUCAGUCACACUGGAACUGAGACACGGUCCAGACUCCUACGGGAGGCAGCAGUGGGGAAUAUUGGACAAUGGGCGAAAGCCUGAUCCAGCCAUGCCGCGUGUGUGAAGAAGGUCUUCGGAUUGUAAAGCACUUUAAGUUGGGAGGAAGGGCAGUAAGUUAAUACCUUGCUGUUUUGACGUUACCGACAGAAUAAGCACCGGCUAACUCUGUGCCAGCAGCCGCGGUAAUACAGAGGGUGCAAGCGUUAAUCGGAAUUACUGGGCGUAAAGCGCGCGUAGGUGGUUCGUUAAGUUGGAUGUGAAAGCCCCGGGCUCAACCUGGGAACUGCAUCCAAAACUGGCGAGCUAGAGUACGGUAGAGGGUGGUGGAAUUUCCUGUGUAGCGGUGAAAUGCGUAGAUAUAGGAAGGAACACCAGUGGCGAAGGCGACCACCUGGACUGAUACUGACACUGAGGUGCGAAAGCGUGGGGAGCAAACAGGAUUAGAUACCC
rnacentral:rRNA from 1 species